rnacentral:rRNA from 1 species
AUUGAACGCUGGCGGCAGGCUUAACACAUGCAAGUCGAGCGGAGAUGAGGUGCUUGCACCUUAUCUUAGCGGCGGACGGGUGAGUAAUGCUUAGGAAUCUGCCUAUUAGUGGGGGACAACAUUCCGAAAGGAAUGCUAAUACCGCAUACGUCCUACGGGAGAAAGCAGGGGAUCUUCGGACCUUGCGCUAAUAGAUGAGCCUAAGUCGGAUUAGCUAGUUGGUGGGGUAAAGGCCUACCAAGGCGACGAUCUGUAGCGGGUCUGAGAGGAUGAGCCGCCACACUGGGACUGGGAGACGGCCCAGACUCCAACGGGAGGCAGCAGUGGGGAAUAUUGGACAAUGGGGGGAACCCUGAUCCAGCCAUGCCGCGUGUGUGAAGAAGGCCUUAUGGUUGUAAAGCACUUUAAGCGAGGAGGAGGCUACUGAGACUAAUACUCUUGGAUAGUGGACGUUACUCGCAGAAUAAGCACCGGCUAACUCUGUGCCAGCCGCCGCCGUAAGAC